CUCCACCCUAAAGUGGGUCCAUCUCUAAAAAAAGGUUAAUCACGUGAGGUAGAACUAAGGGAGCCAUGUAAGAUUUACCUCAACAGCAUUAAUUGUUAACAUCAAAAUUCAUUCUACAAGGCAUGUUAUCUCGCUUAAUAAAAGAAAUCAACAUGUUACGUUUUUAUUAAUAGAGUAUAGAGUGAAGCAUAAUAUGUAAGAUAGAAAAUUUGGACUCUAAUUAAAAUUUUAUUCACACAACAACCUAUUAAGGUAAAAAUUAUUUAAAACUCAUAUGAUUUCUCACAUAAAUCACAAAAAACCUUUCUCAAAAAAAAAAAAAAAAAAAUCACAAAAAACAAAUUAAGAGGAAUUCUGCCGAAUAAUGAACAAUAGAUAUUAGUCUAUGAUUUUUUUUUUUUGAGAACAAGAUUAGCCUAUUAGAGUUUGUAAGAUUCUAGAGUCCUAGUAGUAGUAGGGUUCGUAAUAUACCAGAGUCCGUCUUUUGCUAGAGUUAGGGGGCGUGCAAGGGAGCCGAGAAACCGCACCGCACCUGAAGCCAACCGCAGGAGCCGAGGCUGGUAAGCGGAGACUAGUGGUCUUUCCGACGCCGAUGCGGUGAUGCAAUCGGAAAUCAAUUCCGAUUACCGAUAUUUGUACCGAACCGAUAUGUUAAUGCUCCAGUAAAAACAGAUUGUUUUGUGCUAGAGCUCUGUUUGGAUCCUUUAGAUUUGGAUUUGGAUUUGAGGGGGCCCAAAUCCAAAUCCUUUGUUUAGGUAAGUUAAAAGAAAUGGAUUUGGAUUUGGUCCCAAAUCUAGGCUCAAAUCCAUGGAUUUCAAAUACCCUCAUACACGGUGGAAUUUGAAAUCCUCUCACGCAAAGCUCGCGUCUUCUCUACCUUAAGCUGCGACAACAACGUUGAAGCUGCAAUCACCAUGGUGUUCAGAACUUAAAAAAGAAGCUGAAUCAGCUUGUUUGGUUAUGCAAGCGAAGCUGGAAUUAGAAGAGUCUACACAGCGGAAGAACUUGAUACAGUCUGAGAUUGAUGGACUUCUUAUAAAGAUCAAACAGUCCGACCAAGACCGUUUGAAGUCCGAAGAAGAAAUUAAGCAACUUCAAGAACAGGCUAAGCAACAUCUAGAAGAGGCUAGCAGGGGUAUGGAGGAGCUUGAGAGAUACAGGAAAUGCCUUUUGGAAGCCUUUGAAAACUUUAAAUUUGAAAAUUUGGCCUAAUCUCUUUUUCUCUUUAAUUUAUUUAACUACUUAUUUCACCUUCUUUUCUUGCUGUUCAAAGUAAAAUUUUUGCUAUUACUAUGUCUUUUAUGUAAUUUUUAACUUCAUUUGUGUUUUUGA